GGUAUCACGUUAAGGAUAGUGAAUAGUUUUUAUAAUUAUGGGAGCUGAUUAGUGAUUAUUUUUUUAAAGAAAGAAAUGUAUUGGCUUAAAUAUGGAAAGGACGGAUUUUUCACUGAAGUUUAGCUAAGGACGGAACACUGAUACUUACGAAAAAUGUGAUUUUUAUUUGUGGGGGCGCUAUGGUUCAAAACAAAAACAAUAAACAAAACCACAAGUGUAGGAGAAACGACUCCAUCCAUGGUUGGGUUGAGGCCUACCUACAUCUGUGAAUGUCCCGCUGCCCACACCCUCUUUGAAUUCCUAAAUCAGCCACUGUAAAUUUCUGGUCUCAAUAUAUGGCAGGUGUUUGUCACAAGUUAACUUGGUAUAAAUGCAAAACUUCAGCAACCUACUGGAUUUCUCAUUUUCUUUUCGUAAUUGGAAUGUUGUUUUCAAAGUAUGUAAUUUAUACGUGACAGUUAUUAAUUGAAAAUAAUAUUACUUGCUAUUUUAGUGUCCUUUUUAAAUUUUGAUUUUACAAAACAUAUCAUAAUUCUGAUGCCUAGACUUAUGGUAGUUUAAUUGGCUUAACUGGUGGUAACUCUGUUGGCUAAACCGGUGGUAGCAACUGUCUUUCGGAUGAGACGUUUAAGCUGUUAACACCAUUAAAUAUUUUAAGUCUCAGUUAAGCAUGCAUAAAUAUUUAAAUCAAUCCAUUAUUGUAUAUUAUACAAUGGUCGUGAAAUAAUGAUUUUAUAUGUCCCGACCCACCAACCACCCCCCACCCUGCUAUGUUGUUAUAACACUGUUAUUAUUCAAUCAUGAGAAGGGGGUUAUGCUGUUACUCUUAGACAUUGUAAUAUUUUUGCAUACAUAAAAUCCAUAAAACUAUUCUUUUUUGUUUUUAGUGAUUUAUUCUGUUGUUUUACAUUGUUUAGCACUAAAAAACAACAUAUUCCGGUUGUUCUACAGUGCUUUGCAUUAGUAAACAACAGAAAUUUUUAUUUUUUUAUUUUUGUAGUCUUAACUGGUGUAAGGUUUACCAUUUAGAAUUAAUUACUUUAUAUCAGAUGUGUCUGUGGUGCAACGGUUAGUGAUGUUGGAUUCAGACCUAAAGGUUGGUGGUUCAAAUCUAGGGAUUUUUGGUUUUUUUUGGUCAAUUUU